rnacentral:rRNA from 1 species
AGCAGUCGCGGUUACACCAAGAAAUUAAGUCAUAUAGAAGGGUAAAAAGACAGUUAAAUUUAUAAAUAAAUUACAUAACUUUUUGUAGAAAAGUAAAAUUUGAAUACAAAUUUCUAAUCUAGCGGUAAUUUAUUGUAUUGAAGCUGUGAAAGCCUUGAGGGAAACUGGGAUUAGAUACCCCAUUAUUCUUGGCCUUAAACUAAUGAAUAUACAUUUACCAGAGUACUAUGAAUAUUAUAAAAUUUAAAACUCAAAGGGCUUGGCGGUGUUUUAGACCACUUAGGGGAACCUGUCUCGUAAUCGAUAGUCCACGAUAAACCUGACUUUUUUUUGUAAUCAACUUGUAUACCGUUGUCGUCAGGUAACUUUUUAGAAAUUAGAAGUUAGCUAUAAGAACAAUAAACUAAAACGUCAAAUCAAGGUGCAGUCUACGAAAGAGGGAGGAUGGGUUACAAUUAUAAAAUUAUAAUACGGAGGGCUAUUAGAAUUAAUAACCUGAAGGAGGACUUAAAAGUAAAAUAGAUUAUAUAAAUAUCUUGAAUAAGGCUCUGAAGCGUGCACACAUCGCCCGCCGCUCU